AAAAGCGGAGGAAAAGAAAAUAACAAUGAUUUCCUUAGUAACGGCGAGUGAACAGGAAAAAGCUCAAAGUUGGAACCUGUUUGGCCUAGCUAAACCGGAUUGUAAACUGUAGAAGUGUUUUCCAGGCAAGCCGGACCGAUAAGUCCUUUGGAACAGGGCAUCAUAGAGGGUGAGAAUCCCGUCUUCGGUCUGAGCAUUUGCCUUUUGCGAUACACUUUCAAAGAGUCAGGUUGUUUGGGAAUGCAGCCUAAAUUGGGUGGUAAAUCUCACCUAAAGCUAAAUAUUGGCGAGAAACCGAUAGCGAACAAGUACCGUGAGGGAAAGAUGAAAAGAACUUUGAAAAGAGAGUUAAACAGUAUGUGAAAUUGUUAAAAGGGAACCGUUUGGAGCCAGACUGGCUUGUCUGUAAUCAGUCUAAGCUUCGGCUUGGAUGCACUUGCAGGCUAUGCCUGCCAACGACAAUUUGGCUUGAGGGAAAAAACUAAGGGAAAUGUGGCCCAUCCGUGGGUGUUAUAGUCCCUUAGAAAAUACCUUGGGCUGGAUUGAGGUACGCAGCGAAUGCUAUUUGGCGAGUUGGCUGGGAAUAUUUUCUGAGGUGCUUUGGUACUGAGGUUGAUAUUCCUAGUUACACUUCUAUUCGCUUAGGUUGUUGGCUUAAUGACUCUAAAUGACCCGUCUUAAAC
rnacentral:rRNA from 1 species